rnacentral:rRNA from 1 species
UACGUAGGGCGCAAGCGUUUGUCCGGAAUUAUUGGGCGUAAAGAGCUCGUAGGCGGCUUGUCACGUCGGGUGUGAAAGCCCCGGGGCUUAACCCCGGGUCUGCAUUCGAUACGGGCUAGCUAGAGUGUGGUAGGGGAGAUCGGAAUUCCUGGUGUAGCGGUGAAAUGCGCAGAUAUCAGGAGGAACACCGGUGGCGAAGGCGGAUCUCUGGGCCAUUACUGACGCUGAGGAGCGAAAGCGUGGGGAGCGAACAGG